rnacentral:rRNA from 1 species
GAUGAACGCUGGCGGCGUGCCUAAUACAUGCAAGUCGAGCGGACGGACGAGAAGCUUGCUUCUCUGAUGUUAGCGGCGGACGGGUGCGUAACACGUGGAUAACCUACCUAUCAGACUGGGAUAACUUCGGGACACCGGAGCUAAUAGCGGAUGAUAUUUUGAACCGCAUGGUUCAAUAGUGUAAGACGGUCUUGCUGUCACGUAUAGAUGGAUCCGCGCUGCAUUAGCUAGUCGGUAAGGUAAGGGCUAACAAAGACAAGGAUGCAUAGCCGACCUGGGAGAGUGAUAGGCGACACUGGAAGUGGGACACGGUCCAGACUCCGACGGGAGGCCGCAGCAGGGAACCUUCCGCAAUGGGAGAAAGCCUGACGGAGCAACGCGGCGAGAGUUAUGAAGGUCUUGGGGUCGUGAAACUCUGGUAUUAGGGAAGAACAUAUGUGUAAGUAACUGUGCACAUAUUGACGGUACCUGAUCAGAAAGCCACGGCUAACUACGUG